CCGACUUCCUUUUCGUCUAAAACUCUUUAGACAUGAUCCUGGAACAGUAUGACAAUACAGACAGCUGUUGACAUCCCACUGACAGGAGACCACAGGGAAGUGUGUGAUCAUUAGAGUUCCUCACUUUCUUCCCAGUUUUCCCAUUCCAUAGUGCAGAGCCAUCCUCUAGGCGGAUCUUGCAGUGUGGUUCUCAGUACUGAAUUGGUUAAUACGGGGGAGAGUCACUAGAACACAAGCCCAACCCCUCUCCCUGUCUCUCUUCUGUCACUCUGCUUGCUCUUCUACUUUUCCACAAUGAUGGGACACAACAUGGGACCCUUGAUAUGGGCACCUGAUCUUUGACUCCUAGACUUGAGUAUCCUGAGCUUGGGGGUCUUCUUUCUUUGUAAUUUACCCUGUCUAAGAUGACAUUUUAAUGCCACAGAAAACUUAAUAUCUGUCCUUCAGAGAAAGUGGCUGAGUAGUCUCAAAUCCCUGUCUGAAAAAGGCAAUGUCUAUACCAACUCUGUGUUUGCACCUUCAUGCCCAUGACCUUUCUCGCCAAAACCCAGUCCCUAGGAACUCUUCACCUCUCUCUAGACCCUGCAGGGACAGCAUACACAGUUCCCUCUCCCAUUGGUGAGGUUCAUCCUUCGCCAGGCUUGCCCCUUCCAACCCAUGAUUCUGCCUGAGGACCAUCAGGCAGGCCCCUUCUCUCUGUCUUCAGAUGUCUGCCCCACUGAACAAUGGCGCUGUCCCUCCUCCCCAUUUCCCUGUAACUCCCAAACAGCAGGGUUCAUGUGUUUAUCCACCCCACCCUGAAAUCCCAGUUUCUUCCAAUGUGACAAAAAGAUAUCUGGGUUCAGACUGUUCUUACAGUCUUGGUCUCAGAUGGCGACCUCUACAGACAGAAGAGGCUGGCUUGAAAGUGCCUUUUUGUGUGAUGUCUGUGUUGUGUUUGGUCUUAAUUUUUCCUGACUGAUGAGAGUAAUGUGAGUUUCUUUCCAAUCAUCAUUCUCUGGAUAAGGUGCAAACAAACUUGACAUUGGAAAUAAUGUGUUUCUCUAAAUUUAGGAAAGAUUUUGAAACAACAAACUUAACAGAAGCAUCAAAAGUAGAAACUGAAUAAUGUGGAUGACCAACUAUCUUUAUAAAUCUGUAGACAGCCUGGAAUGGGGAAAUGACAGUCCAUGAGGAGAGUGAUUAAGCAGAAGGGAGUUGAAGCAUCCUGGAUGCAAGAAUGCAG